rnacentral:tRNA from 3 species
UGGAUCGAUAGCUCAGUCGGUAGAGCAACGGAUUGAAGCUCCGUGUGUCGGCAGUUCGAUUCUGUCUCGAUCCAUC